AAAGCGUGCGCAGGCGGUUCGGAAAGAGAGGUGUGAAAUCCCAGGGCUCAACCUUGGAACUGCACUUUUAACUACCGAGCUAGAGUAUGUCAGAGGGGGGUGGAAUUCCGCGUGUAGCAGUGAAAUGCGUAGAUAUGCGGAGGAACACCGAUGGCGAAGGCAGCCCCCUGGGAUAAUACUGACGCUCAUGCACGAAAGCGUGGGGAGCAAACAGGAUUAGAUACCCUUGU
rnacentral:rRNA from 1 species